rnacentral:rRNA from 1 species
UACCAGCACCCCGAGUGGUCGGGACGUUUAUUGGGCCUAAAGCAUCCGUAGCCGGUUCUACAAGUCUUCCGUUAAAUCCAACUGCUUAACAGGUGGGCUGCGGAAGAUACUAUAGAGCUAGGAGGCGGGAGAGGCAAGCGGUACUCGAUGGGUAGGGGUAAAAUCCGUUGAUCCAUUGAAGACCACCAGUGGCGAAGGCGGCUUGCCAGAACGCGCUCGACGGUGAGGGAUGAAAGCUGGGGGAGCAAAGCGG